ensembl:lncRNA
GUGGAGUUAUACCAUACAUACUGUAGACUGACAGAUACCUGCAGUAUAGGAAGGAAGGAGGAGUUAUACCAUACAUACUGUAGACUGACAGGUACCUGCAGUAUAGGAAGGAAGGAAGGAGUUAUACCAUACAUACUGUAGACUGACAGAUACCUGCAGUAUAGGAAGGAGUUAUACCAUACAUACUGUAGACUGACAGGUACCUGCAGUAUAGGAAGGUGGAGUUAUACCAUACAUACUGUAGACUGACAGAUACCUGCAGUAUAGGAAGGAGUUAUACCAUACAUACUGUAGACUGACAGGUACCUGCAGUAUAGGAAGGAGGAGUUAUACCAUACAUACUGUAGACUGACAGAUACCUGCAGUAUAGGAAGGAAGGAGGAGUUAUACCAUACAUACUGUAGACUGACAGAUACCUGCAGUAUAGGAAGGAGUUAUACCAUACAUACUGUAGACUGACAGAUACCUGCAGUAUAGGAAGGAAGGAGUUAUACCAUACAUACUGUAGACUGACAGGUACCUGCAGUAUAGGAAGGAAGGAGUUAUACCAUACAUACUGUAGACUGACAGGUACCUGCAGUAUAGGAAGGAAGGAAGGAGUUAUACCAUACAUACUGUAGACUGACAGAUACCUGCAGUAUAGGAAGGAAGGAGUUAUACCAUACAUACUGUAGACUGACAGGUACCUGCAGUAUAGGAAGGAGGAGUUAUACCAUACAUACUGUAGACUGACAGAUACCUGCAGUAUAGGAAGGAAGGAGGAGUUAU